rnacentral:tRNA from 1 species
CUGGGGAUAUAGCUCAGUUGGUAGAGUACUUGCCUUGGAUGCACAAGGCCCUGGGUUGGAUCCCCAGCACGAGA